UUUUUUUUUUUUCUUUUCCUUUAUCACCAUCAUCUCACCCAAGAACAUUCACCAUUAUCAUCUUCAGCCCACUAAACCUACUAACAACCCAUGAACCAAGAACCCCAAACCACCAAAACACCAGACCCAUAAAGCUGGACAGUGGAGAGGAAAAGCCGGAUGAGGCUUUACAGCUCCAUUCGUAGAUUUCAAGGGUGAAAGUGACGCUUAAGAGUAAAGAAACAACAUACAAAAAAUGGGGGUUGAUCCGACGGUGGGGAAGGGAGAUCGGAGAAAGCUAGGCUGUAACUUUGGCUUUAGAUCUAGGAAAAUCAGUGAUGAUUUUGAAGAAACGAGUUUGGACGAGAAGAAUAGAUAUCGUCGGCCACCGGAGAUCACUACCGGCACGGUAACCCGACACCUAAACUAAAGUAUCCAGCAAUUAACAAAAGGAAUAUUGUAUGUAUUUAAAGCGUAUUAAAGGUAAUAGAAACAAAGUAUUUAUUAUAAAGGAAAUGAAAAUGUUCAAAUAUCGGUAAAUUAUAUUUAAUGCUUAUUAAAGGUAUGUACAAUAAUCUUAGGGUACAAUCAUAAAUUUUGUUCUUAAUGUUUAUAGUUUUUAUUUUUUAUUUAGUUAAAUUUAGUCAUUAAUUUUUUAAAAAAGUGCCAAAUCGAUUUUCUUUAAUAAAAAUAUUGGCUAAAACAUUAAUUCAUUAAUAAAUUUGUUUUAUAUCUCAUGUCAACAAGUAAUUUAAAAAUUAAAAAAAUAAAUCAAAAUUCAAAAAAAAAUUAUGAAAAGUUCAUAAAAGUCCAAAAAUAUAAUUUUAACAUUUUAAUCAAUAUUUUCAUUAACAAAACAUCAAUUCGAUUCUUUUGCGAAAUGUUAAUAGUCAAGUUUAUUUUUUUUUAAAUGUUAAUUAAUUAAAUUUAACUAAAAGAAUAAAUGUCAGAUUGAUAAAAAUUAAUAACUAAUUUUGACGCUAUGCCUAAACUUGACGUAUGUUGAAAUGCACUCUAUUUACCUUUAAAUAUACACAUAUACAUUAGUAUAUAAAUACUAAAAGAAAAGACGAUUGUAUAUAUUUAAAGUUGCAAUUGUUGUUAACGGUUUACAUUUUGAAAAAUAUUAUCUAUAAAACCCUAAACUCAGGUAUCCAGCAAUUAACAAAAGGAAAUUUUAUAGAAAAUAGGAUGUUAUCACAUGCUUUCUCUUAUGAUGGAAAUCAUAAAUACUUUAAUAUUAUGGCCUCAAUUUGUAAUUCUUCCAUACAAAAAUGGUCUGUUGAUAUGUCACUGUCAUGAGGAUAGAAUUUAAGUCUCGCAAAUCGUACAAUCUUAGGAAGAAACUUCACUACAAAUUUAUCUAAGUCAGUCUAACAUUCGAAAGCGAAAAUUUACAAAUGAAAUUCUCUAAGACACCGAGAUAAAACGGACACAAACUAAAAGUGAAGAAAAAACAAAAAAAACUAAAAAAACUUACAAGAAAAGAGUGCAUACAAAGUGUUUGAAUAAACGCUCUCAAGGUGUUUCUAUUAUUUUAAAGAAAUACAAAUGAGUAACUACAAAUGAUGGGAAUGUUUUUAUUUCUAGUUGAGCUCCUCAAAUCCAACAGCACAGUUUAAAUUACAUCGACUGUCGAAAUCAAAACCUAUCUACAAUAUAGGAGUCCUAAGAGAUUUAAACUCUAUAUAAUCUUAUCCAUUAAGAUUACAAAUACUCACCACGAUAACUCAAGUUUUACUGGAGUAUUUCACUGGGCCACCAAAACUUUAAUAGAUGACAUUAUUUAUAUGUUCCACGAAUCAGGUCAGUUAACCUCCAUGGAACGUUCUGUGUGCAUUCGUUAUUUGCUUUGAUUCACGACCUGUGACAUUACAACAUAAUUGGUCUUUUGCCUGUCAUCCUUAUAGUUUUACUAUUACUUUUGAACAGUCAAGUAGCCUAUUAUUAUACAUGGUAUUUUCAGAUCACGAGAAGAGGUGCUAGAAUUAAAAGGCAUAGUUUCUGAGCUUCGGGAAAAGAUAAAUGAUUUUAAAACAAAUCACAGAGAGAACUCACACAAAAACCCUCAAAAAUGAUGAAGCAAAUCGAGUAGAAUGUAAAGAGCAUGUUCGAAGAAAAAUUAGACAACUAACAAAAGAAAUACGACAAAUAUGAAUGCAUACUUCUAUGAGUUUUCCUACAUUUCAUUCAACAAAAUCACAACCUUUAAUAAUAUUAUUUUUAGUUAUAACUACAACUUCAUAAUAAAAAUUAAAAAUAAUAUUUAUCAAAAUUCUAAUCUUAGUUGUAUACUUAUCAAUUGCAGGACAAAGCUAUUUGCAUAUGGAUUGAUUCAAAUCUCAAACUUCCUUAUUAUUAUUAGGUGAUAUAAACCUUCAUUUUUCUUACCUUCAAUUUUUAUUACAUCUUGCUUGGUAUUGAUUUUAGUAACUACGGUUUAUAAAAAUUUUAGUUAUGUGUUUAUUAUGAUUUUACAAUUUCCAAGCUUUAAAUUUUAUGAGUUGGUUAGUUGUAAAAUUAUUUUUAUUAGAUUAUUUCUUAUAUAUUUCUUAGAUGUUUAUUUAAAUUUAAUUGCAACCAAAUAAAGAAAUAAUCAAUUUUUUAAAGAUUGUUGUUGACUAUUUUUAUUACCACCCAUAAUAUUUUAGAGCAAAAUAAAAUUAAACAGCCAUAAUAAUAUCAUUACAUAUACAAUUUUGUGAUCAAAUAUUUUGGUUGCUGAAAUUGACUUUACGCAAUGACUAAAUACCGUUGUGUUACAUAAGACGUGACCAAUUGUUAUGUCAUUGUAAGUUAAUAUUCCACAACUAAACAUCAUUACAUAAAAAAAAUUAACAACCAUAUAUAUUAUCAUUGUUGCUCAAAUUAUUUAACCACCACAUUUUAUAGUUGUUAAAAUAAAUUAUUAUUUUUUUAUAAUAACAUAAUAUAAUAUACAGUCAAUUAAAAUAUGGUGACAACUAAUAAUAUUAUUGAUACGUAACAAAAUUGCAGUAAUUAAAAUUUAUUUGGAUCGUUUCACUCAAAUCAAGGUCUAUGGGUUUGAUGGUUGAGUUUGGUUCAACUAUAGUAGUGUGUGUUGGUGCAAGAAUAAAACUGAAAGAUCAUGGAAAUUAUGGGUGAUGUUUCUUGGAUAUAGUCUUGUUUUUUAGCAUGUUAAACGUGAUACAAUUUUUGCGGCUGCUUCACUGGUUAAAGUUGGGGUUGAUAGGCUUUGCAUGUUUAGUGCUUGCUUGGUCCUACUUUACCUGUUUUUUAAAACUACAGGCUGACAGUUCUUGUAUUCAUCUAAGUUUAUCAAUUGUUUUCUUUAAUUAAAUUUAAAAAAUCAUAUAUAAAGAAAUUUAGAAUUUAUGAUUUUAGGGUUUAGAGUUUUAAUUUUUUUAAAUAUUAAAUUUAGAAUCAUAAUUAUUAUAAUAAUGGGAUGACUCACAUUUGUCUAUACAGUUACGGGCCUGAGCUAAGUUUCUUCUCUCUCUUUUUUUUUGUUGCGUUUUGAUUUUGAUCUGAUUAUGAGUUGAGUCACUCGGCCUGAUUGAAAAGUAGAAAGGGUUGGACAAAAAUAUAAGUCUAAAAAAUGGAUUUGGGUAAAAAAAAUAAAGCCCAUUUAAAAAAUAAAUCAAGCCUUCGAUAAGUUUUUUUGGCCUGAGCCUAUAAAACGGGGCUGAAAUUUUAUUAUAGUCCAGCCUAACCCACAAUCACCUCUUAAUUCUGGUUUAGGUUGAUUCUAGUUUAUAUUAUUGUUGUAAUUGAAACUUUAUUUCUUUUUUUAUUAUUGUCCUUAAUAAAAUUCUUUUAGUGUUGAAACAAAUGCUUUAAAAUGUCAAAUAUAGCCAUCACGAAGCGUGACGACGACAGACUGAUGAAUAUAUUAAUCCUCAUCCAUGAGAAUGAAGUAUAUUUCAUUACCAAUCAUUUACUUAUUCGGAGAGCACCUAGGACGAGAAAAUUAGUCACUGCUAUCAGUAAUGAACACACUGAUAUAUAUCAAUAACCAAGCGGUGGAAAAUUUGACAAUAUCUGACUAGCCAGUGGCAGAGUCGGGGGGCUAGCAGGGGCCCGAUCUCCCCUGAAAUGGAAAAAAAUUUCAUUUAUGCCCUUUAUAAUUUAUAAAAUUUUUAAUUAGUAAUAGUAAAAUUAAACUUUAUCCCUCCCAAAAUGAUAAAAAUUUGCUUUAAUCCUUUAAAAUUUAUAAAAACAUAAACUACUAAAAUGGUGAAAUCAUAUUUUUACUAUCUUAAAUGUAUAUAGUAUAAUUCCGACCCCUAAGACAAAUUUUAUUGACUCCACUAUAACUCGCUCUACUCCACCACAUUAUGGUUAGAUAAUAAGAAUAAUAUUUUGUCCAUUAAUUUGAAACAUGAUUGUUACUUAAUACGAACCCCCCCCCCCCCCUUUUUUUCAGAAAGUAACGGCUACAUAUACUAAAUAUUAUAUAUCGUAUUCAUUAUUAUCUAGAGUUUGUGUUCAGUUAGAUUGCUUGAAACCCUACCGACCACUUACCGUAAAUAAAAUAAACCCUUUUUCUUAAUAAAAUUGGGAUGAUCUUCUCCGUAAUAUACUCGUUACUUUCAUUUCUUUUUAUUUGCUGUUUCAAGUUUUCACCAUGAGAGAAACACCAUUUCCUGUUCUUUGUCUCUUUAAAUAUCCCACACCAAGCUUCCUUGUCUCCUUCCUUUAUACAUUUAUAUACACACACACACAGGUGUGUGUGUUUAUCCAAUUCCAAACCUCUAUCUCUCUCUUUCAUGCUCUGAAAAUGGAGUCAAAAGUUUUCAGACCAAGAUUAAACCUGAACCAUGUUACAUUUCAAGGCAACAACAACCACGCUCAAUCACAUUCAUUUGGGCAAGUCUUUUUGCAUAAAAAAACUGGGGUUUCUUCAUCAAGACGAUCUGUUGUUGCUGCAGAAGCAGCAGCAAUGGCAGAGGAGACUAUUGCUAAAACUGGUAAUUCAGCCUUAUCUCAUUUCUGGAGAGAGGUUCAAGGUUCAAACAACUGGGAAAAUCUAGUAGAACCAUUGCACCCUCUCCUCAGAAAAGAGAUUAUUCGAUAUGGAGAGUUCGUUGCAGCAUGUUACAAGGCCUUCGACCUCGAUCCCACUUCCAAAAGAUACUUGCAUUGCAAGUAUGGCAAAAGUAGGAUGUUAAAUGAAGUUGGCAUGGAGGAUUGUGGUUAUACAGUAACUAAAUAUAUCUACGCUACACCCGAUAUCAACAUCCCAAUGCAAAACGAGGCCUCUCGUGGUCAUUGGAUCGGAUAUGUAGCCGUGUCAUCGGAUGAAUCCUUCGUUAAAAGGCUCGGGAGACGAGAUUUGCUGAUAGCAUUUCGUGGAACGGUUACGAAUCAUGAAUGGGUUACUAAUUUAAUGAGCUCACUAACGCCUGCACGCCUCGACCCCAAUAAUCCAGAUCCCGAUGUGAAAGUGGAGUCUGGGUUUUUGAGCUUGUAUACAUCUGAUGAAACCAAGAGCAAAUUCGGGCUCGCAAGUUGUCGAGAGCAGCUUUUAUCUGAGGUUUCCAGGCUGUUAAACAAGCACAAAGUUGAGGAUUUGAGCAUUACAUUGGCUGGCCAUAGUAUGGGGAGUGCUUUGGCUCUUCUUCUUGCUUAUGAUAUAGCUGAGCUUGGUUUAAAUAAAACUGAUCAUGAAACAGUACCAAUCACUGCGUUUUCCUUUGGGGGACCAAGAGUGGGGAACCCAAGUUUCAAGCAAAGGUGUGAGGAAUUAGGGGUUAAAGUGAUGAGAAUAGUGAAUGUAAAUGACCCCAUUACAAAGCUUCCAGGGAUGUUUUUGAAUGAGAAUUUUAGGGUUUUGGGGGGGAGAUAUGAGUUGCCAUGGAUAAGUUGCUCUUGUUAUGCUCAUGUUGGGGUUGAGUUAGUGAUGGAUUUCUUCAAUGUUCAAAACCCUUCAUGUGUGCACGAUCUUGAAACCUAUAUCAGCUUACUCAAAUGCCCCACCAAAACAUUGCACACUCGAAAGGAGGGUUUUGAUAAUUUAUUGAAUAGGGCAAGGGAGCUAAUCUUCAGUGCACGAAGUUUGAAAUCAAUUUGCCUUUGAAAGAUGGUGCAUUCUACAUGCAGUGUAACCAUGGUUCAACUCCCAAGAACCUAAUCCUUUUUCUUCCACAUCUUUUUUUCACCAUCAUUUUGGUGAUUUUUUUUUUGGAAGGAAAAGGGAGUUCAUUGUGAGUCACAUAAAGUUUUCUAAAUUUUAUGUUUAGGAAAAUUUGUAAUCUCCAAGGAAAAAAACUUUUUCGGAAAUUUUCUUUUAUGUUUGAAAUAUAAAUUUAAAAUUUUCAAUCUGAAUUUGAAUUUUUUUUGUGAGAAUGCAAAUAACAUGUAUAAAUUAAUUAGUGAGAAAAUAUGUAUAAACUAAUUAAUACAAUCAAGACUUAGUGUUUAGGUUUCGCAUUAGAAAUUAGUAUUUAGGUUUUAGCUUUUCAUUGUUUAGUGUUUUUAAUUAAAUUUUAAGGUUUAAGUUUAAUGGUUUAUAAUUUAAUAUUUAAAAUUUAGACUUUUAAAAUAAAUGUUUAGGAUUUAGGGUUAUAAUUAAAAGAUUAAUAUUUAGAGUCUAGGAUUUAGGGUUUUAUAUUUUUUAGAGUGUAAGAUUUAAGAUUAUUUAUAGCGGCUUUCUAGUUAAUUGAGUUGUUUGCUUUUAAAAAAUAUUUGGUUAAGACCGGUGGAACUUCAACAUGAAAACAUAAUUAAGUGAACUUUGAUUCGUGUCUUGAUGGAUUUAUGGUGUUGUGAGAAUAUUUUAAAUUUACAAUCACAGACGAUAUAUAUCUAAACUAAUUAUGGCUAAAUCAAGUAUUAUAGAGUAUAAUUGAACUAUUAUUCAAAAAAAUUAUCCAGAGUUAAAUCAAAAUAAUUUUGGUGAAAAUUCACAUAUAAUAUGAUUUAAGUUGAAAUAAAUUUAAAAAUAAGUUACAUGUAUUUUACUUAAUGUGGGAGUUAACCAUUAAAAUCCCAUAGCUCAACCUUUGUGGACCGUGCGAAUUCCUUAGUGGUAAAGACGAAAACAUUGAAAUGUAAAUGAGGGGAUUAGGAUUACAAAUUAAAAGGAACGUGUUCAAAAAAACCUUGGGGCACAUUUAAAUGUGGAGUUGUUGUAACCUAAAAAAAAAAAAAAAAGGAGAGAAAGGAGGAAAAAGGUGUAUUCCAGUGGACCCUUAAAAUGGAAAAUUUUCUAUUUAAGUCCUUUAUAAUUUGUAAAAUUUUAAAUUAGUAAUGAUAUAGUUGCACUUUGGCCUUCUAAAAUAUAGACUAUUAAAAUGAUGAAAUUGUAUUUUUACUAUCGUAAAAAUAUACAAUUUAAUUCUACUCAAAAAAAAUUUUCUGAGUUUACCAUUGAUGUAGUCAUUAUUAAUCCGUUCAAGUUAUUUAAGAGCCGGUGGCAGGAUAAAAAAACCAUUUAAAAUAACGUUUUACGUUAAUGCUCCCUUUGAAAUUGAAAAGUUAUUGUUUAGGUGAUUGCUAUAUAUAUAUAUAUUGGUGUUGUUUUCAUGAUAAUCCUCACACUAGAUGAGGAUAAGUAUACCAUAUAUGAAACAAGUUUGAAUAUAAUUAAAAUUUGAUUGGCGAUGCGUCUAUCUGUAAUUAGUAUAAAAAUAAUGAUGGUGGUGAGAUUAGAUAUUAUAGCGUGAGAUAACAAGAAAACACAUCGUAUUAAAAAUAAACAUAUCCAUUUAAAGAGAACUUUAUUAAAAGUAAACAAUUUAAUUUUAAUUAUUUUCAAAUCGAGUUCAAAAUGUUCCAACUCUUUGUUUUGGAAAAUGGGAAAUUAAAAAGAAUUUGAUGAUUGAGAAGAAGAAAACCAUUUGUCUAAACGUUGAAUUACUGUUUCAAUGAUAAAUAAAUUUUAUUUAAGUUUAAUUAAAAAAUCAAUAUUACAUAUCAUUUUUUAGGGUAAACUAUACCCAUGGUCACUUUUGUUUACCUUAGGUUACAUUUCAGUCACUUAUGUUUGAAAUGUUACGUUUUAGUCACUUACGUUAUUGUGUUGUAACAUUUUAGUCACUGAGCCGUUAAUUGUCGUUAAUGGUGUAAUGGUAAGCUGACGUGGCACGUUAAAUUAUCAUUUAAAACAAAAAUUUUAGGUUAAAUUAUACAAUUGGUCCCCAUAAUUUUUCAUUUUGAGCAAUUUAAUUCUAUUAUGUUCUUUUAACUUUCAUUAUUUAUUUUCUUUAUUUUCCAUUCUCUUCUGCUUCUCCCUCUGUUUUCCUACCUUCUUUAUUUAUUUUAACAUACCAGGAAGUCGAAUUGGUAGUGAAGAAAGAAGCAUGGUAUUAUGGGUUUUGGUUAUAGGCAAAUGAUGAUAGUCGACUUCCUACUUCUUUUUUCACUGCCAAUUCGACUUCCUAAUAUGUUAAAAGAAAUGGGAAAUAUAUGAAAACAGAGGGAGAAACAAAAGAGAAUGGAAAAAAAGAGGAAAGUUUAAAGAACAUAAAAUAAAAAAAUUAAAUUACUUAAAACGAAAAAAAUAUGGGGAUCAAUUGUAUAAUUUAACCUAAAAUUUUGUUUGAAAUGAUGAUUUAACGUGCCACGUCAGCUUACCGUUACACCAUUAACGACGAUUAAUGGCUCAGUGACUAAAAUGUUACAACAUGACAACGUAAAUGACUAAAACGUAACAUUUCAAACAUAAGUGACUAAAACGUAACCUAAGAUAAACAAAAGUGACCAUGGGUGUAGUUUACCCAAAAAAAAUGAAUAGGUUUUUCUUUUCUUUCAAAUUAAACUGCACAUUUUGUUGACUGUUCGUAAGGGUAAGAAUUUUUAAUUGGAUUGUUUUCACGAUGGUCAUGCAUGCAUGUGUAUAACAUGCUUCUUGCAAUAAUGGCAAUGGUUAAUUAUGAUGUUUCGUACUCUCGCGAGUCGCGACGUGUGUAUUGGAUUUAGUAAAAUUACGAUAUUUAUGACAUAAAAAUUAGACUAGGCACACAAAAUUCAAGUGAAAGUGAGAUUGAAAAAUCGAAAUAAAAAUUUUUAUUUAUAAAAUUAUGAGUUACAAAUUUUAUAUAAAUCUUUUCUUUUCUUUUUUUCUCUUCAAUAGAGUUUUGCUUCAAAGAUGGUUGAAUUUAUUUUAGGUCAAUGUUGUUUGCUUCAUGACUUGUUGAAAUUUAAUUUUGAAAAUGAAUUUGGAGAGAGCAUAGAUUUAAGGUAGUAUUUGGUGCUUUCCCAUGCUAUGAUUUUAAUUACUUUACAAUAUUUGGUAUGCAUGAGAAUGUAUUAAUUAAAAAUUCGGAAAAGUUACAUUAUCACGUUUAAUUCACUAAGUACUUUUUUAGGAAAGUAAUGAUAAAUUAUGAAUACCCUUAUUAAAUAAAAUAUAAUAUUCGUAUAUUUUAUUUUUAUAAUAAACUUUAUUCUUAAUAAACAUUUGGAUUAAAUAUUUAAUGAUAAAUUUUUAAUUGAUAUUUAAAAAAAAUUAAUUUAUAAUGUUAAUUGAAAGCAAAUUUGUUUCAAAUUUAUCCUACAUAUAUUUUGUAAAUAUAAUAAUGCAUAUAUAAAGCUUGUUUUUGAAUAAAUUUUUAAAAAAAUCAUGUAUAUAUAUCACUUGCAAAGAAUUCUUAAAGUAAUAGAGAAAAUCAAGUAGUAGGAAAAAAGAAGUUAUAAUAGUUUUUUUUUUUGAUAGACUAAUACUCUAAACCAAUAGAAAAUAGGGUUAAUUUUGUCUUAAUAUUUUUUUAACAUUCCAAUUUACAUAGGAAUCACAUUGUCAUGCUCAUGAGACUAAAGGAAAUUUGAUUCCAAGGAAAGUAAAUAAAAUUGGAUAUAUUUAUUUAGACAUUAGAAUCACUUUCUAACUGAUUAAUUUCUCAGGAAAGUGACUACUUUCUGUAAUCACUGAAUUUUGUCCGGCUCGAUUUCGUUUCUUUUACAAAAAAAUUCAAAAAAAAUACAAAAAAUAAAAAAUUACAUUUAACCCCUAAACUUUUUGAAAUUUCAUUUUAACCCCUAAAUUUCAUAAAAUUACAUUUUGACCCAUAAACUUUUUGAAAUUACGUUUUGACCCCUAAACUUUCUCAGAAUUUUGUUUCGGCCCCAAAACUUUUGCUGCAUUUACAAAUUGGUCCUUAUGUCAGAAAAUCCCCAAUAAUCAGACGGAUUUCGUGCACCUGCCCCACGAUUUCCGGCCGCCGGCCUAGGGCAUGGCCUUCCCCACCUGCCACCUGCAAAAAAAGAAGCAAAACCAACUAUAAAAAGGAGUUUAAACUCCAAAAAAAAGGCCCCCACGAAUCAAAAAAAAAAGAAAAAGAGAGUUUCAAAAACAUUUUUUCAGCAGCAAAAAGAAAGAGGAAGAGGAAAGAAAGGAAGAGAGGGGAGGAGCGACGGCGGUGCAGCGGCGGCGUGAAGGAGGCCGAACGGAGAAGAAGAAGGAGAAAGAAGAAGAAAAAGAGAAAGAAGGAAGGAAGGAAGAAGAAGAAGGAAGAAGAAGAAGGAAGAAAAAGAAAAAAGAAAAAAAAUAUUUAACAGUCGGGUCAAACCGAACCGACUCUGACCCGAACACUGCGACCCGACCCGCCACCUGCAUACCCAGGCCAAGCCCAGCAGCCCAAAGAAAAAAAAACAAAAAAAAGGGCAAAAGCAAAAAAGAA
rnacentral:lncRNA from 1 species